rnacentral:tRNA from 1 species
GAGGGUAUAGCUCAGUUGGUAGAGUGCUAGCUUCACAUGCAUGAGGUCCUGAGUUCAGUCCCAGUACCUCCA